rnacentral:rRNA from 2 species
GAGCGCGUCGUGGUAUUUCGCGUAUUGUAAUUUCAACACGAGCGGGGUCAAAUCCUUUGCAGACGACUUAGCUGUGCGAAACGGUCCUGUAAGCAGUAGAGUAGCCUUGUUGUUACGAUCUGCUGAGGGUAAGCCGUCCUUCGCCUCGAUUU